rnacentral:rRNA from 1 species
UACGAAGGGGGCUAGCGUUGCUCGGAAUCACUGGGCGUAAAGGGUGCGUAGGCGGGUCUUUAAGUCAGGGGUGAAAUCCUGGAGCUCAACUCCAGAACUGCCUUUGAUACUGAGGAUCUUGAGUUCGGGAGAGGUGAGUGGAACUGCGAGUGUAGAGGUGAAAUUCGUAGAUAUUCGCAAGAACACCAGUGGCGAAGGCGGCUCACUGGCCCGACACUGACGCUGAGGCACGAAAGCGUGGGGAGCAAACAGG